rnacentral:rRNA from 1 species
GUGGGGAAUAUUGCACAAUGGAGGAAACUCUGAUGCAGCGACGCCGCGUGAGUGAAGAAGUAUUUCGGUAUGUAAAGCUCUAUCAGCAGGGAAGAAAAUGACGGUACCUGACUAAGAAGCACCGGCUAAAUACGUGCCAGCAGCCGCGGUAAUACGUAUGGUGCAAGCGUUAUCCGGAUUUACUGGGUGUAAAGGGAGCGUAGGUGGCAAGGCAAGCCAGAAGUGAAAACCCGGGGCUCAACCGCGGGAUUGCUUUUGGAACUGUCAUGCUAGAGUGCAGGAGGGGUGAGCGGAAUUCCUAGUGUAGCGGUGAAAUGCGUAGAUAUUAGGAGGAACACCGGAGGCGAAGGCGGCUCACUGGACUGUAACUGACACUGAGGCUCGAAAGCGUGGGGAGCAAACAGGAUUAGAUACCCUAGUAGUCC